GUCAUUAUUUAGGAAAAAUUAAAUAUCAAAUAUUUAAACUGAAAUAUCAAAAAGUUAUAAGCCAAGAGUGUUCUGUUUUCUGUUUCAUGCUUUCCGACAAAAAAAAAAUUUUUUUUUCCUAUAAAGUAUCUUUUAACACAAAUACAAUUUAACAUUUAGGUGGGAUAAAUUGUCCAGGUAAUGCGUGUUGGUAGUUGUCAUAACUGAGGUAACUGUCCUUUUUCAUAGUUUUAUUUUUACAGUUUUGCGAAAAUAUCAGCAACUAUACAUUUUUGAUAAAAUAUUAUGUUGUACAUCUGAAACUAACAAAACGUUGUGUCAACUUUCGUAAAAACGCGUAUCCUUACAUACAAGUUGCACAGAACAUCUUCAAAAACGGUUCAUUAGCCGUUUGAUUUUCUUCUGUGAAGUGACCACAUAUGUCUUUGGUUUCUUUAUUCUUACUGGGUUUUCUUUUCUUACAGAAUAUAAUUUCGUGUAAUUAAUUAUUCGUUUGCUCUUUAUUAUUAAUAAAAACAACUAAAGUAAUUUCAGAAAACAAAAGUUGGUCACGUUUAGCACGGACGAUGCCAGGACACGGGAAACAGUCUUCAAACCAUCCCACUUACCUACCACCAGGUCGUGGGGCAGGUGUCCAUACACACUUACUUCUGGGGGCAUUUUGUUUGUUUUAUCAACAUUCCUUCAGAGUGUAACUCCCCGGGCCACUUGCCUCUCGCCCGGUUUCCCCCGCCCCAGCCCCCGCGCCUUUCCUGCCGACCUGCCCGCCCACUUUGCGCCCUAAGAGUCCCAACUUGGGGACCCUGUGGAGGCCUUGCCCGACUCGUCCCAGACCCCAGCCAGUCCUCUCCUCGUCACCCCAACUUGCCCCAUGUCCGUCCCCGGAGACGGCGCCCACUCGCCGCCUCAUUCUCCGGGGUCCUGAUUUCUGCUCGCCUCGCAGCCCGUCCUCCCCGGCAACCUACCGCCUGAAGAUCCUGGAGGAUUUCGGGGCCGGCAGCCGCGUCGCGGCGCUCAGUCCAGACACGACCGCCGAGCGCCGGGGGUGCCCGUCCGGGAACGGCUCCGGCGGCUAGCUCGAGGCCGCGAUUGGCAGCCGCGGGGGUGGGGCAGACGGCGGCCCCCCGAGGCGCGGGGCGGGCGCUGGGCGGGCGCGUGGCGCGCGCGGGGCGGAGCCUCGGGCGCCCGACCUACCGCGCUGCCGCAGUCGGGCGGGAACCGAACCGUUAAACUGGCGGCGCGCGUUUUCCUGGACGUACGGGGCGCGAGGAGCCGACGCCGCCCCGUUUGGAGGUUGCGCCUGGCGACGAGGAGGCUGCGGGAGGCCUCGCUGAGGGAUGAGUUACACACAGGAACAGCAGGGGACACAAAAUUGAGAAGUUAUUCUCUACAUAGCAAUGCACAAUGAAAUCUCAUGUUGUAGUGGAAAGCAGAUGAAUUUUGGAGGCAGACAGACUGUUUGAUUUCACCUUGCUCCAUCACGUGUAAGUUGUGUGUGUUGUGCCCAGUCUCUUAGCCAUUUCUGACUUUUUGUGACCAUUUGGACUGUAGCCUGCCAGGCACCUCUGUCCAUGGGAUUUUUCAGGCAAGAAUACUGGAGUGCAUUGCCAUUUCCUCCUCCAGGGGGUCUUCCAGACCCAGGGAUGGAACUUGUGUCUCCUGCAUUGAGAGGAGACUCUUCACCACAAACCACUGGGGAUGCCCACAUAUAAGCUGAGUGACCUUUAAUUACUUAACCUCU
rnacentral:lncRNA from 1 species